rnacentral:lncRNA from 1 species
ACUCAACUUUUCCUUUGUUGAGGAAAAACUUUUUUUAAGGGAUUCUAGUUAUUCGAAUCUCAUAGUUUUCAUUCCAUUUGACUUAAAACUUAGUCGUUAACAUUAUUUCAUCUCUCUGCAUGCAUAUAUAUGCUUAAAUAGCCAUACACAAUACAAGAAAUUCGUCUAGAGAAAAUUGGGUCGUUACAGUUUGUAUUACAUGUAUUAGCACUAUGAUAUGAGAAGAGAAAAAAUGGUACUACUGGCUCAAAAGAAGAAUG